rnacentral:rRNA from 1 species
UAUAAUAGAAUUUUAUUUUUUAGUCAAAAAGCUAAAAUAUAUUUAAAAGACGAGAAGACCCUAUAAAUCUUUAUAUUUAGAUUAUUAUAAUUUUAUAGAUUUUUUUUGUUAUAAUAAUCAAUGAUAUUUUAUUGGGGUGAUAUUAAAAUUUAAUAAACUUUUAAUUGUUAAAAUCAUUAAUUUAUGAAUAAUUGAUCCGUUAUUAGCGAUUAAAAAAAUAAGUUACCUUAGGGAUAACAGCGA